rnacentral:lncRNA from 1 species
CCUCAGUGUGCAUCAGUUUUUUCUUCACAUUCAGAAUCAGUUAUCCAUGGCACAAAACACUAAAGUUGAAGAGUAGAGAAAUGCAAUUAUGGUAGGACAAUAUCCUGCCUUGGAGAGGCUUCAGAACAAACUCUGGUAAGUAAUGAAUCAAUAUAGAGUUGCCAUGGCAACCUUCAGGGAUCCCAUUUGACCUUGCUACCAUGGAAUCCUUCCCUUAAGAAACAGGCAAACAAGAGUGUUUGCUGCAUGAGCCUACAUACUCCUGAUCAAACCUGAGCACCAAGUUCUGAACAGCCUUGCAGUACCUGUGGUGUCAUUAGUGUAAGAAAAAAAUAAUGCAUUAAAUUGUGGCUCCAUGUCUGAUAUUUCUUUGAGGUCACAAGCAUGGAAACAAAUUGGAAUUCUAAGCAUCUUGGGAUCAGAUUCUGCCUUACAGAAUGAGUUGCAGAAAAAAAACAACAAUCAGAAGAUCACAUUGUCUUUCUGUCUGUAGCUGGUAAUGUAAAGAGGGAAUUAAAACAGCAGAAGCUGCCAGACACUAUUUUUCUCAAGGCUUAUUUCCUCAAAGGAAAGGGCUUGCAAUUUCAUCUGUCCAGGGAAGAAAUCAGGACAUUUUGAGAACUUCUAUUUCUCCUAUGGGGCCAACUACAGAAGAGUUGAGAAACUCAGCAGUGAUUCCCUUGGACACUUCUUUGCAAAGCUAAAUCACAAGUCACUCAGCAACUUCUCAGGAAGUAUCUGGGAACCAUCAGUGAAUUUGCUGCUGGGAAGUAUAAAAGUUCUUCUUGGAUCCAUAAAAUAUGAAGAUGACAUCAUCUUACUAAAUGCUCAUGUUUAUUUGAUGGUCUUUCAUGAUCUGAAGCCUUUUAUUUCCUUCAUUAAGCAGAAGAAAAUGCAAAGUGAAACAAGAACCAGGGUCAGAAAAAGGCAUUAUUUAGACUUAAAUCCUUACAAGAGGAUCCCACAUUGACUGUAUUUUGAGACAGAUCACAAUCAGCAAAUUCACAUCUACAAGGAAUUUACCCUCAUACUCAGAUGAACUGGAAGAAU